CAGAGGUCUCCGUGUCAUCCCUUGAUGCAUCCAUUACAUUAAAAUAACAACCAUUAGUGUAGAAUCACAAUAAAAAUGUCACAGCCAUCAAAACAAGAACACACAUGAGGUUUAAUCUGACAAAAUAUUCUAUUACAAACUGAAGCUCAACUUAAAUUCUGAACUGGUCAUGUGACUGACUGCCUGGUAGCUGCUCUGACCUGGUGGUGGUAGACUGGGACCUUGUGAAGUCUGACCACACUGACUAGCCUCAGGUAGGGAGCCGCUCUGACCUGGUGGUGGUAGACUGGGACCUUGUGAAGUCUGACCACACUGACUAGCCUCAGUCCGACCACACUGACUAGCCUCAGGUAGGGAGCCGCUCUGUGGUCUGGUGAUGGUAGACUGGGAUCUUGUGAAGUCUGACCACACUGACUAGCCUCAGGUAGGGAGCCGCUCUGACCUGGUGGUGGUAGACUGGGACCUUGUGAUGUCUGACCACACUGACUAGCCUCAGGUAGGGAGUCGCUCUGGGGUCCGGUGGUGAUGC
ensembl:lncRNA